UGUGGGAUUCUAAGUUAAGAUUUACAAGUUAAUAAACUUAAGGGGGGAAACAUGGUAAAUGCCAAACUAUUAGGUUAAUAGUGAGAAAAUCACAAAACCCACACACUGUAUGUGUGUGGAUCGACCAGGAACAAAGAAAAACAAGGGCUCACCCUUGUUCUCACCAAUUCGCCAAAUUAACAAGGGAAAAUCGAUGUUUACUAGUUGCAUGUAGUAGGAUUUCGAUCAUUUACCCAUACCCAAUCAAGUGGAACGUGUCAAGGAGAGGUCAAGCAUAGGAGGAUAACGGGUCAAGAUAAGGCAAGGUGACAAAUACACUUAUUGGAGUACUCGAGGUAUGGGAUCGUUGGCUUCAUGAAGAAAUGGAGCUGGAUUUGGAUAAGAGUAUUUAAGAAAGCGCUUGGACAAUUCCACGACUACUUUAUAGAAUGCUCUACGAAAUUCUAUUAUAUAGUUUAAUGUUGUAUGGUAUGUAAAUGACUAAUGGUUUGGUUGUACGUGGUGUCCACAGGUAUCGCUUGGGUUUUCUCUACAUUUAUUGAAGUGAAGCGGACUUAGUUCGA